CUCCGCGGCACGCCAAAUUUGAAAGAAGCUGUUAGUUUCUCUCCCUUUUUCCCAGCAAAACUCAGAAUCGGUUUGCAAAUGUUCAAACUAUCCUUUCCAUUUCUGAACCUCUUCCUAUCCUUACUCCUAACAUCGAUACCCUUCCUUGUAAUUUCACAAAAUGUGAAUACAGAGCUUGACAUCCUCUUGAAGCUCAAGCAACAACUGGGCAAUCCACCGUCUCUACAGUCCUGGACCUCCUCAUCCUCGCCGUGCAAUUGGACGGAGAUUUACUGCACCAACGGUAAGGUUACCUCACUUUUGCUCAGCAACAAGGACAUCAAAGUAACAAUCCCG
rnacentral:misc_RNA from 1 species